GAAAUGCGAUAAGUAGUGUGAAUUGCAGAAUUCAGUGAAUCAUCGAAUCUUAGAACGCACAUUGCGCCCCUCGGUAUUCCGUGGGGCAUGCCUGUUCGAGCGUCAUCUACACCCUCAAGCUCUGCUUGGUGUUGGGCGUCUGUCCCGCCUCCGCGCGCGGACUCGCCCCAAAUGCAUUGGCAGCGGUUCCUUGCCCCCCUCUUUGCGCAGCACAUUGCCAUUCGAGGCGGCGGCGGCCCGCGUCCAACAAGCUCAACCCCCCCGUCUUUGACCUCGGAUCAGGUAGGGAUACCCGCUGAACUUAAGC
rnacentral:misc_RNA from 1 species